AAAACCCACGAAAAAAGGGGAUAUGGAGAAAGCUGUUCCGGCGGUUCGGAGGUGACGCCGGAGACGCGCCAGAAAUGGCGGAAGGCCACCACAACAGAAGGAAGAUCGUGGAACAGGUCUUGCAACGUUCCAAAAACCCUUUCAAACUCAAAGGCACAAACUUGAAACAGAAAGCGAGUGGAGAAACAGAUUGCCGGAAAAAUCGGAGGAGAUCUCGCGGUGUCCGUCGAUCUGCAACGACUCUG
rnacentral:lncRNA from 1 species